AGGGACUACAUGUGGAUUUAAAUUGCUGAUAUAGCCAUAAGAUAAAAAAGAAACCAUAUUUAAGAAAAAAUUUCCUUAGAGUUGUAUACAAACUUCUAAAGUUUUUAAAUUGUAUCUCAUCUUAUUAUAACAAUUAUUAACAAUUAGUUUUUUACGAAACCGAAUGAAACUUGCUUAAAAACCUGCAGGACACCAGCAUUUAAAAUGUAACAUGUCAAAAUUUGCCAUUAACAAAAGUUAAGACUAUAUAUACUUCAAUCCACCAAUUAUCAUUGAAUGGAAUCCAGUAACAACAGACUUAACCUUUAAUAGCACACCGAAAUUCUGUGAGUUUCUGCCACGUGGCAAUAAUCGCGCAUCAAAAGAGUGUAAAUCCUUAGCCCCAAAUACAGUGAGGCCAAAAGGGAGGAACGCACUGAAAACAGCCUGGCGCCACAUAAAUAAACCCGAUGCAACCGAGAAAUGACAACGGGAAUGCUAAGUGCGCCGCAGGGGGCGUGCCCGGUGAAGAACUAUCUAGGAUUUUGUCAGGGUCCCAAACGAAUUUAUAGGCCUGGCCAAAAAUGUUAAAGAGAGCUCUUUUACAGCCCGAGAUUUGCCUCCUUCGAUUCCCUUCACCGACUGCUCAUGGUUCAAUGAACAGCCACCAAGGAUGAGCUGUCUGGGUUAGAAGGAUAAUGCCACCCACAUUUUUUGCCAGACCAAAAAGCCAUCCAUUCUCAUUCCACAUCCAUAUCCCGGCAAGAUGAAACGAAAUUCAUAUAUCAGAAAUUAAUCUCACAGACAGAUUUAUUCUUUUAUGACUGAACGGAAACAAAAACACGCCAGAGUACAAUGUACUUAGGGCAAUUAAAUUUGGGCAAAUAAGUAUUUCCUUUUGUAGUUGUCGAUUGGAGCCAUAAAAUUGCCAAGUUUUAUGUUGUAUUUUCGAAAUUUUAAAUUCCAAAAUUUAUGAGCAUCUGCACUGAAGAAGAACAACAACUAUCUGCAGCAAUCAAAAAGUUGUACAAGGAGAUUUACGAUCCAUUAAAACAAUUAAAAAUCUACCCAUUGCUCUCCAAGUAGUAAAUUGGCCAGAAAGCGCAGAGCAGUGGGGUAGUCGAAAAAUUAACACGAUAUUUAAUUGCCAAGGACUUAGAGCAGGGCAUCCUAGGAGCAGGACAUUCCCUAAUGUCUCCACAUUAAUUUCGUCUUUGCCUCGCUGUUCAUUUUUUUUCAAGCUGGCAAUGGUCGAACAUUUUUUUGCAGCCGUUGAAAAGGAAUUUGUUGACACCAACAAUGUUUCGGACAUCCUGGCAAAUAAUUCUCCCGUUUUUUCUCGCCAGGAAAUUGGCAACUAAGCCAAGCCAAGUCCAAGGCAUUGUGUCCUUUCUUUUCCUCUUGACUGGCUGCAUAUGUCCAACAAAAAGUCCUCCCGUUCCGCCGCUGGUCAGUGCGCUUUAUCUUUCCUUCCGCCAGAUAUUCGAUUCGGAAUUCAAAUUCCGAUUCUGUGCAGUGAAAGGCUUGAAGAUUUAUGCUCUGCAUUGAUUUUAUUGAUGGCCGGGCGUCGAAGGGUGGAAUUUUUAAACGUCCGCCAAGUCGAGCAAUUAAAACUAAUUGAAUUGCCAGUGAGAAAUUGUCAAAGACACUUUAAAUGCAUAUAGACGGCGGCAUUGAAGCUGAACAUUUAUUCCUCCUCCUUCUGCAUUGUGAGUAGUCGGCUUCAGACAAAACCAUAAUUCUCAACGGCCUAGACGGGGCAAAUAAAGCAAACAAACAGAUAAAUCGCCAAAUUAUGAUUUUGGCCAGCGUUUCCUUCUGCUCCUUCUGCUGUCAUCAACAUCGAAAACAAAAAAAUCUCUGAGGAAGAACUUUGGCUGCCUUUGGUCCAGUCCAGUAAUGAUUUACUCUAUUUGCAUAUUUUUGCACUUAUAAAAAUGCACAAACGAUUUUUCAUUUUUCUUAAAACUUAUUAGUGCGGCCCGCUAUCCUUUGAACUGUCCGCUUCCAUUUUUUUGCAACUUCGGCGCUCCUUUGCCUUUUUUAUAAUGAUGGUCAGGCCUUUGUUAUUUAUUUGUUAUGCAUUUGGCCCGCAACUUUGUCUUGCACUGCGUAUACGUUAUGUGUGCGGGUCGGGGGAUGGCGACUUCUGCUGCAUUACGUAUACGCCGCAUUGUCGCAGUCUACAAUUGGCAGCGCCUACAAGUCUGCGGUGCUGAUUUUUCUGCUGCUGCAGUGUCCACACUUAACUAUUUUCAAUCUUGCGAGGCGUUACUUUAUGAUUCAACUUCCCUACCUUAAAAGUUGAAUGGCUUACCAAGAAGGAACUGUCCCAUGUUCCGAAAAAAAAGGAGGGAUAGUGCUAUUAUUGUAAACAGAAUAAAGCAUCUUGUGGGUAUUACAUGUAGUUAAAAUAUUUCCAUUAGCACGUUUUUAGGAAUUUUGUUUUGUAUUUUACAAUUGUGCUUGAAUGUUUAUUUGAUAUAGUAUUUAUAAAUGCAAAUGAUAUAUUUAAGUUCUAGUUAAUGUAGAAUAUCUCUUAGUGUUCGGUUUAAAAAUUGUGGCGUACUGCCAUAAAAGGUAGAGAAUUCGUGCUUCUCCAUCGUUGUGUUUCCAACUCUUUCCCACAUCUUCGCCGUUUUUCAACCGUUACCGCCCUUUUCUAUGGGCUGUUUUUCAUUCCCUGGAACCCAAAACGCCACGAACAUAAACAUAAACAAACGCAGCCCGCUGUCGGCCGCUUCUUGGCAUCAAGAUUUUUGGCAUCAUCGUUGGCAACGCAUCCUGUGGAAUGCGAGUCGCGUGGCUGGCGUGUGGGGAUUGGGAUUGGGGCCUUGGCAGCGGUUCUCCUUUGGCGGGGUGGCGCCUCUAACUUGGCACUCUCAUUAUGAUUUUAAUUGCUGACGCACAUUUUUGACGAGCUGCCCAGUUCGUCGCUACGUCACCGAUUGUUGUUGAAUUGGCCAAAGAAUUCUUGGCCAGACACCAGCCAGCAGUUGCCAACAGGUGUCCAAUUAUCAUUAUGAUUGUGUUUAUCACCCACCAACAGACACACAUGGGAAAACGAAAUAAUGACGUUUGAUUGGCCUUCGGCAAGGCCGUUUGCUGUUGGCCAACUGUCAACGUCUUGUAAAAUUUAUUGGCCAAUAUUCAAGCAAUUUUUUUUUAUUUUAAGUUCAUUGCUUUUUUGGUUUUUGGCAGACAGUUAAUAUUUGCAGCCUGCCAAUUUUCCGAUUACGAUUUUCUAUUUAUCUUUUCGGUUGUUUGGUUUUUCUUUCGCUGCUGUUUUGAUUGACUUUCAGUUUUCGUCAGAUCUUACAGCUGUGACAACGCCUCUGUGUUGUAGAUGCACUCUUUUCAUUUUUUUUACAGCAUUCAUUGCAGUUAAUAAAAAUAGAUGAAACCUGUGAAGCUAUAUUUUGCGUAAUGUUGUUCCUGUUCUUUAAAAAAUAUUCACAAAAAAUGCAAAGGAAACUUGCGCGUAUAAAUGUGAUAAAAUAUGAAAGGUUGGAAAUGAGAUUAUUCCAAAAUUUGGCCACACAGAAGCUGAAGGCCUAAAGGAAACCUCGUUGGCCAAUUGGGGAGGAGACCCAGAAAGUCGAGCCGAUUUUCCGCUGCAACCGCCGAAGGUCUGACCAACCAAUCGCAACGCACAGCGGCGACGAAGCCCGGCCGAAAGGGAGAAUCUCCGGAAACGGAGGAACAGCCAGCCGCCCUGCAAUGCAUUUCCUUUGGCAACGUGUCAAGAGGCCCUUCACACACACACACACACACAUUAGGAUUCCAGAAGAAUUCUCUGCCUCGCUAACAUGCGCAUCGAGUGGUAUACGUAAUAUAUCAAGUAUACGCCUGUUAGCCGGGCAGAAAGUCUGUGAGUGUGUGCGAAUGGCCAAAAGGAGUGCUGCCAACUGCAUUGCCGGGCUGCCAUCGACUACAACCCCCAACCCGAGGACACCACCCUCCUCCCGGCCAGGAGGCCAACGACGAGUCCUUUUUGGAGGCA